GCCCAGGUGGCGGAAUUGGUAGACGCACUAGUUUCUGGUACUAGCGCUGAGAGGCGUGGAGGUUCGAGUCCUCUCUUGGGCACCA
rnacentral:tRNA from 1 species